rnacentral:rRNA from 1 species
UACGUAGGGUGCAAGCGUUGUCCGGAAUUAUUGGGCGUAAAGAGCUCGUAGGCGGUUUGUUGCGUCGGCUGUGAAAUCCCGAGGCUCAACCUCGGGUCUGCAGUCGAUACGAGCAAACUAGAGUGUUGCAGGGGAGACUGGAAUUCCUGGUGUAGCGGUGAAAUGCGCAGAUAUCAGGAGGAACACCGGUGGCGAAGGCGGGUCUCUGGGCAACAACUGACGCUGAGGAGCGAAGGCCAGGGGAGCAAACGGG